rnacentral:rRNA from 1 species
UACCAGCUCCCCGAGUGGUCAGGACGAUUAUUGGGCUUAAAGCAUCCGUAGCCGGCUUUGUAGGUCUCUUGUUAAAUCCAACGGCCCAACCGUUGGAACGCAGGGGAUACCGCGGAGCUAGGGGGCGGGAGAGGCGGACGGUACUCCAUAGGUAGGGGUAAAAUCCUUUGAUCUAUGGAAGACCACCAGUGGCGAAGGCGGUCCGCUAGAACGCGCCCGACGGUGAGGGAUGAAAGCUGGGGGAGCGAAC